rnacentral:rRNA from 1 species
AUACGUAGGUGACAAGCGUUAUCCGGAUUUACUGGGCGUAAAGGGCGUGUAGGCGGUCUUGCAAGUCAGAAGUGAAAUUCCUGAGCUCAACUCGGGCGCUGCUUUUGAAACUGUAUCCCUUGAGUAUCGGAGAGGCAGGCGGGAUUUCUAGUGGAGGGGGGAAAAGCGUAGAUAUUAGGAGGAACACCAGUGGCGAAGGCGGCCUGCUGGACGACAACUGACGCUGAGGCGCGAAAGCGUGGGGAGCAAACAGGAUUAGAUACCCUGGUAGUCCACGCUGUAAACGAUGAAUACUAGGUGUGGGGGGACUGACCCCCUCCGUGCCGCAGUUAACACAAUAAGUAUUCCACCUGGGGAGUACGAUCGCAAGAUUGAAACUCAAAGGAAUUGACGGGG